AGUGAACGCUGGCGGCGGGCCUAACACAUGCAAGUCGAACGGCAGCACAGUGAGUGCUUGCUCUUACGGUUGGCGAGGGGCGGGUGGCAGAGGAAUACAUCGGCAUCUACUUUUUGGUGAGGGAUAACGUAGGGGAACAUUAGCUAAUACCGCAUACGACCUACGGGUGAGAGCAGGGGAUGUUCCGACCUUGCGCGAUUGAAUGAGCUGAUAUCGGAUUAGUUAGUUGGCGGGGUAAAGGCCUAGCAAGGCGGCGAUCCGUUGCUGGUCUGAGAGGAGGUGCACCCACCCUGGAACUGGACCGCGGUCCAGACUCCUACGGGAGGCACCAGUGGGUAAUGGUGGACAAUGGGGGCAAGCCUGCUCCAGCCAUCCCAGGUGGGUGAAGAAAGCCUUCGGGUUGUAAAGCCGUCUUGUUGUUAAAAAAAAGCUUCAGGUUAAUACCCCGCUGUUGUGACGGUACCUAAAGAAUAAGCACCGGCUAACUACGUG
rnacentral:rRNA from 1 species